AGUAAUGUCUGGGAAACUGCCCGAUGGAGGGGGAUAACUAUUGGAAACGAUAGCUAAGACCGCAUAGGUACGGACACUGCAUGGUGACCGUAUUAAAAGUGCCUCAAAGCACUGGUAGAGGAUGGACUUAUGGCGCAUUAGCUGGUUGGCGGGGUAACGGCCCACCAAGGCGACGAUGCGUAGCCGACCUGAGAGGGUGACCGGCCACACUGGGACUGAGACACGGCCCAG
rnacentral:rRNA from 1 species